AGUGCUUGGAUUGUGUCCUCCUGCAUGGUAGAAGGAAGUUGAUCUGGAUGAUCCUUAGGGGUCACUCCAAACCUUAGGAUUGUAUGAUGAUGUUGUUAUUAUUAUUAGUAUUAGUAUUGAGAGGUUGGGUGGCCAUCUGUCAGGAGUGCUUGGAUUGUGUCCUCCUGCAUGGUAGAAGGAAGUUGAUCUGGAUGAUCCUUAGGGGUCACUCCAAACCUUAGGAUUGUAUGAUGAUGUUGUUAUUAUUAUUAGUAUUAGUAUUGAGAGGUUGGGUGGCCAUCUGUCGGGAGUGCUUGGAUUGUGUCCUCCUGCAUGGUAGAAGGAAGUUGAUCUGGAUGAUCCUUAGGGGUCACUCCAAACCUUAGGAUUGUAUGAUGAUGUUGUUAUUAUUAUUAGUAUUAGUAUUGAGAGGUUGGGUGGCCAUCUGUCAGGAGUGCUUGGAUUGUGUCCUCCUGCAUGGUAGAAGGAAGUUGAUCUGGAUGAUCCUUAGGGGUCACUCCAAACCUUAGGAUUGUAUGAUGAUGUUGUUAUUAUUAUUAGUAUUAGUAUUGAGAGGUUGGGUGGCCAUCUGUCGGGAGUGCUUGGAUUGUGUCCUCCUGCAUGGUAGAAGGAAGUUGAUCUGGAUGAUCCUUAGGGGUCACUCCAAACCUUAGGAUUGUAUGAUGAUAUUAUUAUUAGUAUUAGUAUUGAGAGGUUGGGUGGCCAUCUGUCAGGAGUGCUUGGAUUGUGUCCUCCUGCAUGGUAGAAGGAAGUUGAUCUGGAUGAUCCUUAGGGGUCACUCCAAACCUUAGGAUUGUAUGAUGAUAUUAUUAUUAGUAUUAGUAUUGAGAGGUUGGGUGGCCAUCUGUCAGGAGUGCUUGGAUUGUGUCCUCCUGCAUGGUAGAAGGAAGUUGAUCUGGAUGAUCCUUAGGGGUCACUCCAAACCUUAGGAUUGUAUGAUGUUGUUGUUAUUAUUUUUAGUAUUAGUAUUGAGAGGUUGGGUGGCCAUCUGUCGGGAGUGCUUGGAUUGUGUCCUCCUGCAUGGUAGAAGGAAGUUGAUCUGGAUGAUCCUUAGGGGUCACUCCAAACCUUAGGAUUGUAUGAUGUUGUUGUUAUUAUUUUUAGUAUUAGUAUUGAGAGGUUGGGUGGCCAUCUGUCGGGAGUGCUUGGAUUGUGUCCUCCUGCAUGGUAGAAGGAAAUUGAUCUGGAUGAUCCUUAGGGGUCACUCCAAACCUUAGGAUUGUAUGAUGUUGUUGUUAUUAUUUUUAGUAUUAGUAUUGAGAGGUUGGGUGGCCAUCUGUCGGGAGUGCUUGGAUUGUGUCCUCCUGCAUGGUAGAAGGAAGUUGAUCUGGAUGAUCCUUAGGGGUCACUCCAAACCUUAGGAUUGUAUGAUGAUGUUGUUAUUAUUAUUAGUAUUAGUAUUGAAAGGUUGGGUGGCCAUCUGUCGGGAGUGCUUGGAUUGUGUCCUCCUGCAUGGUAGAAGGAAGUUGAUCUGGAUGAUCCUUAGGGGUCACUCCAAACCUUAGGAUUGUAUGAUGAUGUUGUUAUUAUUAUUAGUAUUAGUAUUGAGAGGUUGGGUGGCCAUCUGUCAGGAGUGCUUGGAUUGUGUCCUCCUGCAUGGUAGAAGGAAAUUGAUCUGGAUGAUCCUUAGGGGUCACUCCAAACCUUAGGAUUGUAUGAUGAUGUUGUUAUUAUUAUUAGUAUUAGUAUUGAGAGGUUGGGUGGCCAUCUGUCGGGAGUGCUUGGAUUGUGUCCUCCUGCAUGGUAGAAGGAAGUUGAUCUGGAUGAUCCUUAGGGGUCACUCCAAACCUUAGGAUUGUAUGAUGUUGUUGUUAUUAUUAUUUGUAUUAGUAUUGAGAGGUUGGGUGGCCAUCUGUCGGGAGUGCUUGGAUUGUGUCCUCCUGCAUGGUAGAAGGAAGUUGAUCUGGAUGAUCCUUAGGGGUCACUCCAAACCUUAGGAUUGUAUGAUGAUGUUGUUAUUAUUAUUAGUAUUAGUAUUGAGAGGUUGGGUGGCCAUCUGUCGGGAGUGCUUGGAUUGUGUCCUCCUGCAUGGUAGAAGGAAGUUGAUCUGGAUGAUCCUUAGGGGUCACUCCAAACCUUAGGAUUGUAUGAUGUUGUUGUUAUUAUUAUUUGUAUUAGUAUUGAGAGGUUGGGUGGCCAUCUGUCGGGAGUGCUUGGAUUGUGUCCUCCUGCAUGGUAGAAGGAAGUUGAUCUGGAUGAUCCUUAGGGGUCACUCCAAACCUUAGGAUUGUAUGAUGAUGUUGUUAUUAUUAUUAGUAUUAGUAUUGAGAGGUUGGGUGGCCAUCUGUCGGGAGUGCUUGGAUUGUGUCCUCCUGCAUGGUAGAAGGAAGUUGAUCUGGAUGAUCCUUAGGGGUCACUCCAAACCUUAGGAUUGUAUGAUGAUGUUGUUAUUAUUAUUAGUAUUAGUAUUGAGAGGUUGGGUGGCCAUCUGUCGGGAGUGCUUGGAUUGUGUCCUCCUGCAUGGUAGAAGGAAGUUGAUCUGGAUGAUCCUUAGGGGUCACUCCAAACCUUAGGAUUGUAUGAUGUUGUUGUUAUUAUUAUUUGUAUUAGUAUUGAGAGGUUGGGUGGCCAUCUGUCAGGAGUGCUUGGAUUGUGUCCUCCUGCAUGGUAGAAGGAAGUUGAUCUGGAUGAUCCUUAGGGGUCACUCCAAACCUUAGGAUUGUAUGAUGAUGUUGUUAUUAUUAUUAGUAUUAGUAUUGAGAGGUUGGGUGGCCAUCUGUCGGGAGUGCUUGGAUUGUGUCCUCCUGCAUGGUAGAAGGAAGUUGAUCUGGAUGAUCCUUAGGGGUCACUCCAAACCUUAGGAUUGUAUGAUGUUGUUGUUAUUAUUAUUAGUAUUGAGAGGUUGGGUGGCCAUCUGUCGGGAGUGCUUGGAUUGUGUCCUCCUGCAUGGUAGAAGGAAGUUGAUCUGGAUGACCCUUAGUGGUCACUCCAAACCUUAGGAUUGUAUGAUGUUGUUGUUAUUAGUAUUAGUAUUGAGAGGUUGGGUGGCCAUCUGUCGGGAGUGCUUGGAUUGUGUCCUCCUGCAUGGUAGAAGGAAGUUGAUCUGGAUGAUCCUUAGGGGUCACUCCAAACCUUAGGAUUGUAUGAUGAUAUUAUUAUUAGUAUUAGUAUUGAGAGGUUGGGUGGCCAUCUGUCGGGUGUGCUUGGAUUGUGUCCUCCUGCAUGGUAGAAGGAAAUUGAUCUGGAUGAUCCUUAGGGGUCACUCCAAACCUUAGGAUUGUAUGAUGUUGUUGUUAUUAUUAUUUGUAUUAGUAUUGAGAGGUUGGGUGGCCAUCUGUCAGGAGUGCUUGGAUUGUGUCCUCCUGCAUGGUAGAAGGAAGUUGAUCUGGAUGAUCCUUAGGGGUCACUCCAAACCUUAGGAUUGUAUGAUGAUGUUGUUAUUAUUAUUAGUAUUAGUAUUGAGAGGUUGGGUGGCCAUCUGUCGGGAGUGCUUGGAUUGUGUCCUCCUGCAUGGUAGAAGGAAGUUGAUCUGGAUGAUCCUUAGGGGUCACUCCAAACCUUAGGAUUGUAUGAUGUUGUUGUUAUUAUUAUUAGUAUUAGUAUUGAGAGGUUGGGUGGCCAUCUGUCGGGAGUGCUUGGAUUGUGUCCUCCUGCAUGGUAGAAGGAAGUUGAUCUGGAUGAUCCUUAGGGGUCACUCCAAACCUUAGGAUUGUAUGAUGUUGUUGUUAUUAUUAUUAGUAUUAGUAUUGAGAGGUUGGGUGGCCAUCUGUCGGGAGUGCUUGGAUUGUGUCCUCCUGCAUGGUAGAAGGAAGUUGAUCUGGAUGAUCCUUAGGGGUCACUCCAAACCUUAGGAUUGUAUGAUGUUGUUGUUAUUAUUAUUUGUAUUAGUAUUGAGAGGUUGGGUGGCCAUCUGUCGGGAGUGCUUGGAUUGUGUCCUCCUGCAUGGUAGAAGGAAGUUGAUCUGGAUGAUCCUUAGGGGUCACUCCAAACCUUAGGAUUGUAUGAUGAUGUUGUUAUUAUUAUUAGUAUUAGUAUUGAGAGGUUGGGUGGCCAUCUGUCGGGAGUGCUUGGAUUGUGUCCUCCUGCAUGGUAGAAGGAAGUUGAUCUGGAUGAUCCUUAGGGGUCACUCCAAACCUUAGGGUUGUAUGAUGAUGUUGUUAUUAUUAUUAGUAUUAGUAUUGAGAGGUUGGGUGGCCAUCUGUCGGGAGUGCUUGGAUUGUGUCCUCCUGCAUGGUAGAAGGAAGUUGAUCUGGAUGAUCCUUAGGGGUCACUCCAAACCUUAGGAUUGUAUGAUGAUGUUGUUAUUAUUAUUAGUAUUAGUAUUGAGAGGUUGGGUGGCCAUCUGUCGGGAGUGCUUGGAUUGUGUCCUCCUGCAUGGUAGAAGGAAGUUGAUCUGGAUGAUCCUUAGGGGUCACUCCAAACCUUAGGAUUGUAUGAUGUUGUUGUUAUUAUUAUUAGUAUUGAGAGGUUGGGUGGCCAUCUGUCGGGAGUGCUUGGAUUGUGUCCUCCUGCAUGGUAGAAGGAAGUUGAUCUGGAUGAUCCUUAGGGGUCACUCCAAACCUUAGGAUUGUAUGAUGAUGUUGUUAUUAUUAUUAGUAUUAGUAUUGAGAGGUUGGGUGGCCAUCUGUCGGGAGUGCUUGGAUUGUGUCCUCCUGCAUGGUAGAAGGAAGUUGAUCUGGAUGAUCCUUAGGGGUCACUCCAAACCUUAGGAUUGUAUGAUGUUGUUGUUAUUAUUAUUAGUAUUGAGAGGUUGGGUGGCCAUCUGUCGGGAGUGCUUGGAUUGUGUCCUCCUGCAUGGUAGAAGGAAAUUGAUCUGGAUGAUCCUUAGGGGUCACUCCAAACCUUAGGAUUGUAUGAUGUUGUUGUUAUUAUUAUUUGUAUUAGUAUUGAGAGGUUGGGUGGCCAUCUGUCAGGAGUGCUUGGAUUGUGUCCUCCUGCAUGGUAGAAGGAAGUUGAUCUGGAUGAUCCUUAGGGGUCACUCCAAACCUUAGGAUUGUAUGAUGUUGUUGUUAUUAUUAUUUGUAUUAGUAUUGAGAGGUUGGGUGGCCAUCUGUCGGGAGUGCUUGGAUUGUGUCCUCCUGCAUGGUAGAAGGAAGUUGAUCUGGAUGAUCCUUAGGGGUCACUCCAAACCUUAGGAUUGUAUGAUGAUGUUGUUAUUAUUAUUAGUAUUAGUAUUGAGAGGUUGGGUGGCCAUCUGUCGGGAGUGCUUGGAUUGUGUCCUCCUGCAUGGUAGAAGGAAGUUGAUCUGGAUGAUCCUUAGGGGUCACUCCAAACCUUAGGAUUGUAUGAUGUUGUUGUUAUUAUUAUUAGUAUUGAGAGGUUGGGUGGCCAUCUGUCGGGAGUGCUUGGAUUGUGUCCUCCUGCAUGGUAGAAGGAAGUUGAUCUGGAUGACCCUUAGUGGUCACUCCAAACCUUAGGAUUGUAUGAUGAUAUUAUUAUUAGUAUUAGUAUUGAGAGGUUGGGUGGCCAUCUGUCGGGAGUGCUUGGAUUGUGUCCUCCUGCAUGGUAGAAGGAAGUUGAUCUGGAUGAUCCUUAGGGGUCACUCCAAACCUUAGGAUUGUAUGAUGAUAUUAUUAUUAGUAUUAGUAUUGAGAGGUUGGGUGGCCAUCUGUCGGGUGUGCUUGGAUUGUGUCCUCCUGCAUGGUAGAAGGAAGUUGAUCUGGAUGAUCCUUAGGGGUCACUCCAAACCUUAGGAUUGUAUGAUGUUGUUGUUAUUAUUAUUAGUAUUGAGAGGUUGGGUGGCCAUCUGUCGGGAGUGCUUGGAUUGUGUCCUCCUGCAUGGUAGAAGGAAGUUGAUCUGGAUGAUCCUUAGGGGUCACUCCAAACCUUAGGAUUGUAUGAUGUUGUUGUUAUUAGUAUUAGUAUUGAGAGGUUGGGUGGCCAUCUGUCAGGAGUGCUUGGAUUGUGUCCUCCUGCAUGGUAGAAGGAAGUUGAUCUGGAUGAUCCUUAGGGGUCACUCCAAACCUUAGGAUUGUAUGAUGAUAUUAUUAUUAGUAUUAGUAUUGAGAGGUUGGGUGGCCAUCUGUUGGGAGUGCUUGGAUUGUGUCCUGCAUGGCAGAAUUGGGUUGGACUGGAUAAGUGAGACUCUACUGUAUAUUUAUAAUCUUAUAUUAUCUGUUUAGAACUGGAUUAUCUGAGGCCCCUUCUACACAGCUGCAGUGAAUUAUCUGGCAGUAUGGAGUCAGGAUAAUCCAGUUCAAAGCAGAUAAUAUAAGAUUCUAAAUGGGUAAUAUAGCUGUGUGGAAGGGCUUUGAGUCUAUACUGCCAUAUAAUCCAGUUAAAAUCUGAUAAUCUGUGGAAGAGGGCUAAGUGAGGCCUAACUGUGCCUGUCCCCUGGGCUGAGUGGGUUGCCAGGAGACCAAGUGGGUGGAGCUUAGCCUUCAAACUGGCAGCAAUUGGAUAAAAACUAUUAUUCCUCUCCCUCUAAUUAGGACUUUAUUUUUCUUUUCCUUUUGUUGUAUCAACCUAGAGGCGUGGAUGAUGGGUUGUGUUGUCAAAUUUCGAGGUUGGGGGGCCUGUAGUUUUGUUGUUUUGUCCACUGCCCUGAUGCCAUCACUCUUUUAUAUAUAUAGAUUGUAUGUUUGUUACUUCACCUUUCCCUUAAUAAAAAUUUAUUAAAAUACAACUCCCAAAGGCCCGCCCAAAGCCUACCAGUCUUCCAAAUUGGCCAUAUCGGGUACGCUUGCCAGGGACAUCCGCACCAGGCUUAUCUUACCUUUGAUACACAAGCAUCCCGGCCGUUCAGGACAGUUUUGUACCUCCCUGCUACUUGCAGAUCUACAACCGACAAUGUUGCAAAGUUUUGUGCCUACAAAGUCCGCCUGGGGAUGUCGGGUCCCAAAAGUGACCCAUGUGUCCAGUAAUCCUCUCUCUUGGUUCUAUAACUGGCUGAUGGACCUCUGCCUUGUAUGUUUUGCCCCGUUUCCCCUUCCGCUCCCCCCCCCCCGGUUAUUGUGCUUUAGUUUCUUUAUAUUUUAAAUGUACUAAACAUACCAAGUCUGUAUGUAACUGUGACCUUUAUUUCCUGUGCUGGUCUAUGACCGAAAUAAAUGAUGUGAUUUGAAAUUUGA